rnacentral:snoRNA from 1 species
UCCCCUUGGCAGUGGGCAAAGAAAACACCUUGUUGGUGAUGUUGCUCUUAUGUCAGUCGGGGCACAGCAGGUAAAGUCCUUUGUUCAUCCUAGUUUGAUAUCUGGCUUGAUGGCUAAAGUUGUUUUAUGCAUAGGACACAUAA